GCUCAAUGUGCCCUUUCAAACUUUUCCACGACACACGACGGCGACACACGGGAAUCCGGAGAGUGCCAAGGUGGGACUUACAAGCAGCGGAUCGACCUGCAAAAAAAAAAACCUUCACCCAAAGGACGACUCAAGAGAGGAGGACUCACGUCGCGCCUUCUUCAGCCGGAUUUCUGGACGAAGGGGGGGGGGGAUUAAAAGACCGCAGUUUGCUUUUGAAGGACAUGGAAACUCAUCUCACUGGGAUUUAGCGGCAGCGGCGCAGGACCAGCGGCGCACCGGGCGCCGUUAUGGAGACACUUGAGGAUUAUAAAGUAGUAUGGAUCUGUUGGUUGGGGCUGUGCGCUCUUCACGUGUGCGCCCCCCCCUCCCCCCAAGGCAUCUGGACAGCGUGAUGCCGCAGCACGGCCGUCUUUCAAGUCCGUAUGAUGGGUGGGCGUAGAGGCUGAUCCUGGA